rnacentral:lncRNA from 13 species
AGUUCUAAGCUUCCUCAAGGAGAGUGAGGAUAUGGAAGAUCACACAGCAUGUUUUAGGGGCUAGAGCUGUAAGUGACUCAUAUCAAUUCUGUCCCACAUUCUGUCAGAAUCCAGUCACAUGGACACAUCUAAUGGCAAGAGCAUGGGUGAACUAGGAUAUGGAGGAAGCCAUGGGCUGAAUAAACAUGAUACUUGUCUGCAGAUCCAUUGUACUCUUUGUAUAAUGUUUUUGAACACUUAUAUAAAGUCAUUUCUUCACAAGAACAUCUUGCUUGCAUUACCAAAAUUACACUCUGCUGAAGAAAUAGCUCAUGACUCAUGUGCAAAAGGAUCAUUUGUAAGUAUUCUGGACAAGCUGCUGGUUUUCAGCUUGCAUUUAUUGGCACUUUUUAAUUUAGGUGAGAUCUGUGUGAAGAGGCUCUCUUAA